CCUACGGGCGGCAGCAGUGGGGAAUAUUGGGCAAUGGGCGCAAGCCUGACCCAGCAACGCCGCGUGAAGGAAGAAGGCUUUCGGGUUGUAAACUUCUUUUCUUAGGGACGAAGAACGUGACGGUCCCUCAUGCAUACGCCACGGCUAACUACGUGCCAGCAGCCGCGGUACUACGUAGGUGGCAAGCGUUAUCCGGAUUUAUUGGGUGUAACGGGCGUGUAGGCGGGAAAGCAAGUCAGAUGUGAAAACUCAGGGCUCAACCCUGAGCCUGCAGUUGAAACUGUUUUUCUUGAGUGCUGGAGAGGCAAUCGGAAUGCCGUGUGUAGCGGUGAAAUGCGUAGAUAUACGGAGGAACACCAGUGGCGAAGGCGGAUUGCUGGACAGUAACUGACGCUGAGGCGCGAAAGCGUGGGGAGCAAACAGGAUUAGAUACCCGUGUAGUC
rnacentral:rRNA from 1 species